rnacentral:rRNA from 1 species
GACGAAGGAUGCAAGCGUUAUCCGGAUUCAUUGGGUUUAAAGGGAGCGUAGGCGGAUUUGUAAGUCAGUGGUGAAAUCUCUGGGCUCAACCCAGAAACUGCCAUUGAUACUGCAGAUCUAGAGUACAGUUGCCGUUGGCGGAAUAUGACAUGUAGUGGUGAAAUACUUAGAUAUGUCAUAGAACACCGAUUGCGAAGGCAGCUAACGAAACUGUAACUGACGCUGAGGCUCGAAAGUGCGGGGAGCGAUCCGG